GGAUCAGUGAUGACCCCUUCAAAAAUGCAUUCUUUGGAAGCUGAACAAAAUGAGCGAGAACUCCAUACCGUCGUUCUCAUCAGAUCUGAGGUCC